UUAAGUAGUAAUGCUGCAGG
rnacentral:miRNA from 1 species